GACGAACGCUGGCGGCGUGCCUAAUACAUGCAAGUAGAACGCUGAAGGAGGAGCUUGCUUCUCUGGAUGAGUUGCGAACGGGUGAGUAACGCGUAGGUAACCUGCCUGGUAGCGGGGGAUAACUAUUGGAAACGAUAGCUAAUACCGCAUAAUAGUAGAUGUUGCAUGACAUUUGCUUAAAAGGUGCAAUUGCAUCACUACCAGAUGGACCUGCGUUGUAUUAGCUAGUUGGUGAGGUAACGGCUCACCAAGGCGACGAUACAUAGCCGGCCUGAGAGGGUGGUCGGCCAAACUGGGACUGGGAAACGGCCCAGACUCCUACGGGAGGCAGCAGGAGGGGAUCUUCGGCAAUGGACGGAAGUCUGACCGAGCAACGCCGCGUGGGUGAAGAAGGGUUUCGGAUCGUAAAGCUCUGUUGUAAGAGAAGAACGAGUGUGAGAGUGGAAAGUUCACACUGUGACGGUAUCUUACCAGAAAGGGACGGCUAACUACGUG
rnacentral:rRNA from 1 species